CAACCCUCAGGCCCCUCCGGGCUUGGUGUUGGGGAUCGGCCCCGCCCCGGCGGCCGGCCCCGAAACUCAGUGGCGGUCGCGCCGUAGGCUCCUCUGCGUAGUAGCAACACCUCGCAGUGGGACGCGGCGCGGCCACGCCGUAAACCCCCCAACUUCUGAAUG
rnacentral:misc_RNA from 1 species